UAUUUAUAUGUUUCCUCUUCCUCAAGAUGAGACUAGAUUUAUUUUUAUGUUAUUAGGUACAUUUUUCCUCCAUCAAGAUAGGACCACAUUUCUUUCAAUUUUAGUAGAUGAUGAUAUGGAUACUACUCCGCAGACACCCUUAUGAAAUGGGAAAGGCUUGGAUAUAUGGCUUGAUUUGUUUUCAUUUCAGGUACAUUUUUCCUCCAUCAAGAUAGGACCACAUUUCUUUCAAUUUUAGUAGAUGAUGAUAUGGAUACUACUCCGCAGACACCCUUAUACAAUGGGAAAGGAAAUGCUUGGAUAUAUGUCUUGAUUUGUUUUCAUUUCAGGUAGCAUUAGGUACUGACAAAUAUUUUCAAAUAUCAUAUUCAUGCAUCUUGUAAGUUUUUUCACCUCGUUUUUUAUUAUUUCUCAGUUCAGAUAACAAAUAUGGGAACUUCUUUGAAAAGGCCUCAGUAUAAAAAAAAUUUCUGGAACAGGUGAUGACAACAAGCUUGGUGACAGAUAGUUCUUCACAGAAACCAGGAUGUUUGUGGAAUGGAAGAGAAUGCUACAAAUCAAUUUUCCGAAAAUACUUCAUUGUAAAUAGAGCACAAUUGAUUUAUAUCCUUUCUAAAACUAAAUUAUAAUAACAUUGUAUAUUUUAUUUGUAAAUUGGAAAGAGCUCUUGAGUGAAAUUUUUUUUUACUUGAGUGAAGGUUUUCUUGCUUGGUUCUUUCCUUCAUAAGCUUGACGAACCAAGAAAAAAUUUAAAAAAAUUUUCGCUAUUCA